UAUGUCAAUCUUUUGAACAAUUUACGCGAAACGUAAUAAGAUUUCCUGAUGUUGGCAGUUGUUGGUGGGAGCCUAUUACACGUCGAGAAUUUAUAUACAUUUUUGCAAUAAUAAAAUAACUGAUGCUUAAAAGAUUGUAUUUUAAUCCAUUACUAAAUAAUUACUCACCAUUGAAGCUAAGAAAUCCGGACAUGAGAAGUAC